AUCAUUACCGAGUUUUCGGGCUUCGGCUCGAUUCUCCCACCCUUUGUGAACGUACCUCUGUUGCUUUGGCGGCUCCGGCCGCCAAAGGACCUCCAAACUCCAGUCAGUAAACGCAGACGUCUGAUAAACAAGUUAAUAAACUAAAACUUUCAACAACGGAUCUCUUGGUUCUGGGAUCGAUGAAGAACGCAGCGAAAUGCGAUAAGUAAUUGAAUGCAGAUUCAGUGAUCAUCGAAUCUUUGAACGCACAUUGCGCCCCUGGUAUUCCGGGGGGCAUGCCUGUUCGAGCGUCAUUACAACCCUCAAGCUCUGCUUGGAAUUGGGCACCGUCCUCACUGCGGACGCGCCUCAAGACCUCGGCGGUGGCUGUUCAGCCCUCAAGCGUAGUAGAAUACUACUCGCUUUGGAGUGGUUGGCGUCGCCCGCCGGACGAACCUUCGAACUUUUUCAAGGUUGACCUCGGAUCAGGUAGGGAUACCCGCUGAACUUAAGCAUAUCAAUAAGCGGAGGAA
rnacentral:rRNA from 1 species